rnacentral:misc_RNA from 1 species
AAGUCGUAACAAGGUUUCCGUAGGUGAACCUGCGGAAGGAUCAUUAGUGAAUACAAACGCUUAGGUGUCUCUGCUUCGGCAAGCCCUUUGCACCCUUCACAUCCAUAACACCUGUGCACUGUAAGAUGAUCUCUCUUCGGAGGAUUGUCUGAAUUUUUUCACAAACAAUUAUAUGUAACAAAUGUAAACUUUAUUAUAACCUAAUAAAACUUUCAACAACGGAUCUCUUGGCUCUG